UACAGAGGUCCCAAGCGUUGUUCGGAUUCAUUGGGCGUAAAGGGUGCGUAGGUGGCGCCGUAAGUCGGGUGUGAAAUUUCGGAGCUUAACUCCGAAACUGCAUUCGAUACUGCGGUGCUUGAGGACUGGAGAGGAGACUGGAAUUCAUGGUGUAGCAGUGAAAUGCGUAGAGAUCAUGAGGAAGACCAGUGGCGAAGGCGGGGUCUCUGGGCCGAUACUGACGCUGAGGAGCGAAAGCGUGGGGAGCGAACAGG
rnacentral:rRNA from 1 species